rnacentral:sRNA from 1 species
UAUAAUAAAACCAUCAACAGAUAUGGUGCGUGGCUGCUUGCAGACAAAGCACUAUAUCUAUUAGAUGGUUAAACAGACAUGAGCAAAACAUGGCGAUAGCCCGAUUUGCAAAUGGAUGUUGUGAUUUCGAGAGUGCGGAGCACGGAGAAAUCACAGUUAUUAUA